ACACUCCUGCGGGAGGCAGCAGUGGGGAAUUUUGGACAAUGGGCGAAAGCCUGAUCCAGCAAUGCCGCGUGCAGGAUGAAGGCCUUCGGGUUGUAAACUGCUUUUGUACGGAACGAAAAAGCUCCUUCUAAUACAGGGGGCCCAUGACGGUACCGUAAGAAUAAGCACCGGCUAACUACGUGCCAGCAGCCGCGGUAAUACGUAGGGUGCGAGCGUUAAUCGGAAUUACUGGGCGUAAAGCGUGCGCAGGCGGUUAUGUAAGACAGAUGUGAAAUCCCCGGGCUCAACCUGGGAACUGCAGUUGUGACUGCAUGGCUAGAGUACGGUAGAGGAGGGUGGAAUUCCGCGUGUAGCAGUGAAAUGCGUAGAUAUGCGGAGGAACACCGGUGGCGAAGGCAAUCCCCUGGACCUGUACUGACGCUCAUGCACGAAAGCGUGGGGAGCAAACAGGAUUAGAAACCCCUGUAGUCCCAU
rnacentral:rRNA from 1 species